rnacentral:rRNA from 1 species
GAUGAACGCUGGCGGCGUGCCUAACACAUGCAAGUCGAGCGAGAAAUAAAGAAAUGAAGCUUCGGUAGAUUUUCUUUAUGGAAAGCGGCGGACGGGUGAGUAACGCGUAGGCAACCUGCCCUGUACAGGGGGAUAGCCACCCGAAAAGGUGAUUAAUACCCCAUAACGCAAGAGAUGCACAUGUAUCACUUGUCAAAGAUUUAUCGGUAUAGGAUGGGCCUGCGUCUGAUUAGCUAGUUGGUAGGGUAACGGCUUACCAAGGCAACGAUCAGUAGCCGACCUGAGAGGGUGAUCGGCCACAUUGGAACUGAGACACGGUCCAAACUCCUACGGGAGGCAGCAGUGGGGAAUAUUGCACAAUGGGCGCAAGCCUGAUGCAGCAACGCCGCGUGAAGGAUGAAGGCCUUCGGGUUGUAAACUUCUGUCCUAGGGGAAGAAACAA